rnacentral:rRNA from 1 species
UACGUAGGGUGCAGGCGUUGUCCGGAAUUAUUGGGCGUAAAGAGCUCGUAGGCGGUUUGUCGCGUCUGCUGUGAAAACUCGGGGCUUAACCCCGGGCCUGCAGUGGGUACGGGCAGACUAGAGUGCGGUAGGGGAGACUGGAAUUCCUGGUGUAGCGGUGAAAUGCGCAGAUAUCAGGAGGAACACCGGUGGCGAAGGCGGGUCUCUGGGCCGUAACUGACGCUGAGGAGCGAAAGCGUGGGGAGCGAACAGG